ACGGAGGGUGCAAGCGUUAUCCGGAUUCACUGGGUUUAAAGGGUGCGUAGGUGGCGGGGCAAGUUGGAUGUGAAAUCCCGGAGCUUAACUCCGGAACUACAUUCAAUACUGCCUUGCUAGAGUACUGGAGAGGAGAUUGGAAUUUACGGUGUAGCAGUGAAAUGCGUAGAUAUCGUAAGGAAGACCAGUGGCGAAGGCGGAUCUCUGGACAGUUACUGACACUGAGGCACGAAGGCCAGGGGGGCAAACGGGA
rnacentral:rRNA from 1 species